rnacentral:rRNA from 1 species
UUUGAUCCUGGCUCAGGACGAACGCUGGCGGCGUGCCUAAUACAUGCAAGUCGAGCGAAUCUGAGGGAGCUUGCUCCCAAAGAUUAGCGGCGGACGGGUGAGUAACACGUGGGCAACCUGCCUGUAAGACUGGGAUAACUUCGGGAAACCGGAGCUAAUACCGGAUAAUCCUUUUCUACUCAUGUAGAAAAGCUGAAAGAUGGCUUCGGCUAUCACUUACAGAUGGGCCCGCGGCGCAUUAGCUAGUUGGUGAGGUAACGGCUCACCAAGGCGACGAUGCGUAGCCGACCUGAGAGGGUGAUCGGCCACACUGGGACUGAGACACGGCCCAGACUCCUACGGGAGGCAGCAGUAGGGAAUCUUCCGCAAUGGACGAAAGUCUGACGGAGCAACGCCGCGUGAGUGAUGAAGGUUUUCGGAUCGUAAAACUCUGUUGUUAGGGAAGAACAAGUACCGUUCGAAUAGGGCGGUACCUUGACGGUACCUAACCAGAAAGCCACGGCUAACUACGUGCCAGCAGCCGCGGUAAUACGUAGGUGGCAAGCGUUGUCCGGAAUUAUUGGGCGUAAAGCGCGCGCAGGUGGUUUCUUAAGUCUGAUGUGAAAGCCCCCGGCUCAACCGGGGAGGGUCAUUGGAAACUGGGAGACUUGAGUGCAGAAGAGGAAAGUGGAAUUCCAAGUGUAGCGGUGAAAUGCGUAGAGAUUUGGAGGAACACCAGUGGCGAAGGCGACUUUCUGGUCUGUAACUGACACUGAGGCGCGAAAGCGUGGGGAGCGAACAGGAUUAGAUACCCUGGUAGUCCACGCCGUAAACGAUGAGUGCUAAGUGUUAGAGGGUUUCCGCCCUUUAGUGCUGCAGCAAACGCAUUAAGCACUCCGCCUGGGGAGUACGGCCGCAAGGCUGAAACUCAAAGGAAUUGACGGGGGCCCGCACAAGCGGUGGAGCAUGUGGUUUAAUUCGAAGCAACGCGAAGAACCUUACCAGGUCUUGACAUCCUCUGACAAUCCUAGAGAUAGGACGUUCCCCUUCGGGGGACAGAGUGACAGGUGGUGCAUGGUUGUCGUCAGCUCGUGUCGUGAGAUGUUGGGUUAAGUCCCGCAACGAGCGCAACCCUUGAUCUUAGUUGCCAGCAUUCAGUUGGGCACUCUAAGGUGACUGCCGGUGACAAACCGGAGGAAGGUGGGGAUGACGUCAAAUCAUCAUGCCCCUUAUGACCUGGGCUACACACGUGCUACAAUGGAUGGUACAAAGGGCUGCAAGACCGCGAGGUUUAGCCAAUCCCAUAAAACCAUUCUCAGUUCGGAUUGCAGGCUGCAACUCGCCUGCAUGAAGCCGGAAUCGCUAGUAAUCGCGGAUCAGCAUGCCGCGGUGAAUACGUUCCCGGGCCUUGUACACACCGCCCGUCACACCACGAGAGUUUGUAACACCCGAAGUCGGUGGGGUAACCGCAAGGAGCCAGCCGCCUAAGGUGGGACAGAUGAUUGGGGUGAAGUCGUAACAAGGUAGCCGUANCGGAAGG